GCGAGAAAGAUGCUAAGGGAGUCACCUUCUCCCGGAAACAGAUUAACAGAUCAAGCAUGUACUUAUUAUCUUUGUUAUUAUUGUGAAAACAGAUUAACAGUAUAAUAAUAAGCCGACAAAAGAAGUGAUGAAGCUCCUAGCGCCCACCGGUUUAUCUCGUGUUGCUGCGUGUCAAAAACAAGUGGCCGGUGUCCGUAAUUGAUCCUAAUCCGAUUUUAAAGGAAGAAAAUCGUGCGUUUUGACCAAAUAAAUACUUAAUAAAAAAUACAAUUAAAACACGAUAUUUUCCCACGUCUGUUACACUUUCGUCUUUAUUUAUUUAAAUUUACCACAAC
rnacentral:lncRNA from 1 species